rnacentral:tRNA from 1 species
AUCCCCGUUGUAGUAUAGUGGUAAGUAUCCCCCCUUGUAACGCGGGUGACCCGGGUUCGAUCCCCGACAACGGCGC